rnacentral:rRNA from 1 species
CCUACGGGUGGCUGCAGUGAGGAAUAUUGGUCAAUGGGCGCGAGCCUGAACCAGCCAAGUCGCGUGAGGGAAGACGGUCCUCUGGAUUGUAAACCUCUUUUGUCGGGGAGCAAAAGACGCCACGCGUGGCGUUCCGACAGUACCCGACUAAACAGCAUCGGCUAACUCCGUGCCAGCAGCCGCGGUAAUACGGAGGAUGCGAGCGUUAUCCGGCUUUAUUGGGUUGAACGGGUGGGCAGGAGGAAGAUAAAGUCAGAGGUAAAAGUGAGAGGCUCAACCUCUUCGAGCCGUUGAAACUGGUUGGCUGGAGUGAGUGAGAGGUAUGCGGAAUGCGUGGUGUAGCGGUGAAAUGCAUAGAUAUCACGAAGAACACCGAUUGCGAAGGCAGCAUACCGGCGCUCAACUGACGCUCAGGCACGAAAGUGUGGGUAGCGAACAGGAUUAGAUACCAUUGUAGUC